rfam:Ovis aries breed Texel chromosome 1, whole genome shotgun sequence.
UCCCUGGUGGCUCAGAUGGUUAAGCAUCUGCCUGCAAUGCAGGAAACCCGGGUUCGAUCUCUGGAUGAGGAA